AAGCUUACCACCUGCACCCGGAGAGCUGUGUCACCAUGUGGGUCCUGGUUGUCUUCCUCACCCUGUCCGUGACGUGGAUUGGCGCUGUGCCCCUCAUCCUGUCUCGGAUUGUGGGAGGCUGGGAGUGCAAGAAGCAUUCCCAACCCUGGCAGGUGCUUGUGGCCUCUCGUGGCAGGGCAGUCUGCGGCGGUGUUCUGGUGCACCCCCAGUGGGUCCUCACAGCUGCCCACUGCAUCAGGAACAAAAGCGUGAUCUUGCUGGGUCGGCACAGCCUGUUUCAUCCUGAAGACACAGGCCAGGUAUUUCAGGUCAGCCACAGCUUCCCACACCCGCUCUAUGAUAUGAGCCUCCUGAAGAAUCGAUUCCUCAGGCCAGGUGAUGACUCCAGCCACGACCUCAUGCUGCUCCGCCUGUCAGAGCCUGCCGAGAUCACGGAUGCUGUGAAGGUCAUGGACCUGCCCACCCAGGAGCCAGCACUGGGGACCACCUGCUACGCCUCAGGCUGGGGCAGCAUCGAACCAGAGGAGUGUAUGCCUGGGCCAGACGGUGCAGCCGGGAGCCCAGAUGCCUGGGUCUGAGGGAGGAGGGGACAGGACUCCUGGGUCUGAGGGAGGAGGGCCAAGGAACCAGGUGGGGUCCAGCCCACAACAGUGUUUUUGCCUGGCCCGUAGUCUUGACCCCAAAGAAACUUCAGUGUGUGGACCUCCAUGUUAUUUCCAAUGACGUGUGUGCGCAAGUUCACCCUCAGAAGGUGACCAAGUUCAUGCUGUGUGCUGGACGCUGGACAGGGGGCAAAAGCACCUGCUCGGGUGAUUCUGGGGGCCCACUUGUCUGUAAUGGUGUGCUUCAAGGUAUCACGUCAUGGGGCAGUGAACCAUGUGCCCUGCCCGAAAGGCCUUCCCUGUACACCAAGGUGGUGCAUUACCGGAAGUGGAUCAAGGACACCAUUGUGGCCAACCCCUGAGCACCCCUAUCAACUCCCUAUUGUAGUAAACUUGGAACCUUGGAAAUGACCAGGCCAAGACUCAAGCCUCCCCAGUUCUACUGACCUUUGUCCUUAGGUGUGAGGUCCAGGGUUGCUAGGAAAAUAAAUCAGCAGACACAGGUGUAGACCAGAGUGUUUUUUAAAUGGUGUAAUUUUGUCCUCUCUGUGUCCUGGGGAAUACUGGCCAUGCCUGGAGACAUCUCACUCAGUUUCUUUGAGGACACAGAUAGGAUGGGGUGUCUGUGUUAUUUGUGGGGUACAGAGAUGAAAGAGGGGUGGGAUCCACACUGAGAGAGUGGAGAGUGACAUGUGCUGGACACUGUCCAUGAAGCACUGAGCAGAAGCUGGAGGCACAACGCACCAGACACUCACAGCAAGGAUGGAGCUGAAAACAUAACCCACUCUGUCCUGGAGGCACUGGGAAGCCUAGAGAAGGCUGUGAGCCAAGGAGGGAGGGUCUUCCUGUGGCAUGGGAUGGGGAUGAAGUAAGGAGAGGGACUGGACCCCCUGGAAGCUGAUUCACUAUGGGGGGAGGUGUAUUGAAGUCCUCCAGACAACCCUCAGAUUUGAUGAUUUCCUAGUAGAACUCACAGAAAUAAAGAGCUGUUAUACUG
rnacentral:sRNA from 1 species